ACAGUCUUAGAGUUUUACUGCUGAGAAGAGUCACCAUGACCAAGGCAACUCUUAUAAGGACAACAUUUAAUUGGGGCUGGCUUACAGGUUCAGAGGCUCAGUCUAUUACCAAGGCAGGAAGCAUGGCAGCAUCCAGGCAGUCAUGGUGCAGGAGGAGCUGAGUUCUACAUCUUCACCCGAAGGAAGCCAGGAACAGACUGAGCAUCCUCAGGCAGCUAGGAGGAGGGUCUCCAAGCCCACCCCCACAGUGACACACUUCCUCCAGCAAGGCCACACCUAUCCCAGCAAGGCCACACCUCCUAAUAGUGUCACUUCCCAUGGGCCAAUGAUAUUCAAACUACCACAGUCCCUUUAGUUUUA
rnacentral:lncRNA from 1 species